UCUGGCUCUUGAAAGUUCUCUUGACUGGGUGCGGUGGCUCAAGCCUGUAAUCCCAGCACUUUGGGAGGCCGAGGUGGGUGGAUCACGAGGUCAAGAGAUCGAGACCAUCCUGGUCAACGAGCAUGGAAGAAGGAACUAACAAAUGAUGUCCUUGUAGAAGAGUAAUGUCUCCUGACAAUGUUCUCUUUAGUCCAUGAUGUGGGAUAAGAGGAGGUUUUACUGAUUAUGAGGCAACAGACAUAAGGAGGAAAAACAUUUUCAAAGAUAAGAAUACCAUGAUAAUAGAAGUCUUGAUUUGUGAUCUUGGGAAAAGCUGUUCACAUGAAGAAUGUCAUCUUCUUCUGGAGAGAAACUUUCUCAUGUGGAUGGCAAGGUCAGUCUUUCACUGAUGUUCUCAGAAUAUCCAGUCUUCAGGUUCUAGAUUGUGAAGAGGUUGAUUGCCCUCAGUGAACCACGAAAAAGCUUUCUUUACUUGGUGAAAAUAUACUGUGG
ensembl:lncRNA